CUUCGGGGCAGGGUGUGAUUCCCGACCGGCGGUGUGUGUCAUAUGCCUGGAAAGAGCAGCUGACAUGAGCCCGCGAGCCGAUUGGCAUGAUCCGGUGAGAUUCCGGGGCCGACAGUAGAGUCUGGAUGAGAGAAGU
rnacentral:ncRNA from 1 species